rnacentral:rRNA from 1 species
CCUACGGGUGGCAGCAGUGAGGAAUAUUGGUCAAUGGGCGCAAGCCUGAACCAGCCAAGUCGCGUGAGGGAUGACGGUCCUAUGGAUUGUAAACCUCUUUUGUCGGGGAGCAAGGCCCGCCACGUGUGGCGGGCAGGAGAGUACCCGAAGUAACAGCCUCGGCUAACCACGGGCCAGCAGCCGCGGUAAUACGGAGGAGGCGGGCGUUCUCCGGAUUUAUUGGGUUUAAAGGGAGCGUAGGCCGGCGUUUAAGUCAGCUGUGAAAGUCCGCGGCUCAAUCGUGGAAUUGAAGUUGAAACUGGAGGCCUUGAGUGCGCACAGGGAGGCCGGAAUUCAUGGUGUAGCGGUGAAAUGCUUAGAUAUCAUGAAGAACUCCGAUCGCGAAGGCAAGUGUCCGGGGUGCAACUGACGCUGAGGCUCGAAAGUGCGGGUAUCAAACAGGAUUAGAUACCCCAGUAGUC